rnacentral:rRNA from 1 species
GAUGAACGCUGGCGGCGUGCCUAACACAUGCAAGUCGAGCGAAAAGACGAGGCGUUCGCUCCUCUCACGUUAGGGACGGACGGGUGAGUAACACGUGGACAACCCUCCACUUAGACAGGGACAACUGCAGGAGACUGGAGUACCGAACGGAUAACAUAUUGAACCGGAUGGUUGAAAAGUUUAAGCGGGGUUGGAUGAGCCCUCGACCUAGCACCGCGCCGGGUUAGUUAGUUGGUAAGGUAACGGCUUACGAAGGCAACGAUGCGUAGCCGACCUGAGCGGGUGGUCGGCCACACUGGAACUUAGACACGGUCCAUGCUCCUACGGGAGGCAGCAGUAGGGAAUCUUCCGCAGUGGGCGAGAGCCUUGCGCAGCGACGCCGCGUGUGUGAUGAAGGUCUUCGGAUCGUAAUGCUCUGUUAUUAGGGAAGAACAAAUGUGUAAGUAACUAUGCACGUCUUGACGGUACCUAAUCAGAAAGCCACGGCUAACUACGUG